rnacentral:rRNA from 1 species
UUUGAAAUCUGGCUUCCUUUGGGGGUCCGAGUUGUAAUUUGCAGAGGGUGCUUUGGCGUUGGUGGCGGUCUAAGUUCCUUGGAACAGGACAUCGCAGAGGGUGAGAAUCCCGUUUGUGGUCGCAUGCCUUCGCCGUGUAAAGCCCCUUCGACGAGUCGAGUUGUUUGGGAAUGCAGCUCUAAAUGGGAGGUAAAUUUCUUCUAAAGCUAAAUACUGGCCAGAGACCGAUAGCGCACAAGUAGAGUGAUCGAAAGAUGAAAAGCACUUUGGAAAGAGAGUCAAACAGCACGUGAAAUUGUUGAAAGGGAAGCGCUUGCAGCCAGACUUGCCCGUAGUUGCUCACCCAGGCUUUUGCCCGGGGCAUUCUUCUGCGGGCAGGCCAGCAUCAGUUUGGGCGGUCGGAUAAAGGCCUCUGUCACGUAUCUUCCUUCGGGAUGACCUUAUAGGGGAGGCGACAUGCGACCAGCCCGGACUGAGGUCCGCGCUUCUGCUAGGAUGCUGGCGUAAUGGCUGUAAGCGGCCCGUCUUGAAACACGGACCAAGGAGUCUAACAUCUAUGCGAGUGUUUGGGUGUCAAGCCCGAGCGCGUAAUGAAAGUGAACGGAGGUGGGAACCCUUGGGUGCACCAUCGACCGAUCCUGAUGUCUUCGGAUGGAUUUGAGUAAGAGCAUAGCUGUUGGGACCCGAAAGAUGGUGAACUAUGCUUGAAUAGGGUGAAGCCAGAGGAAACUCUGGUGGAGGCUCGCAGCGGUUCUGACGUGCAAAUCGAUCGUCAAAUUUGGGCAUAGGGGCGAAAGACUAAUCGAACUAUCUAGUAGCUGGUUCCUGCC